CGAUCUCCUGACCUCGUGAUCCACCCGCCUCGGCCUCCCAAAGUGCUGGGAUUACAGGCAUGAGCCACCGUGGAAAGGACACAGUUUUAUGUGCGUUCAAGAUGUCAAAGCAAGGACGUGGUAGGUCCUCUGGUGUGAACUUCUGGAUUUCCUUGGGUCUUCCAGUAGGAGCUGUGAUCAACUGCUGACAACACAGGAGCCAAAAACCUGUAUAUCAUCUCCAUGAAGGGGAUCAAGGGACAGCUGAACAGACUUUCUGCUGCUAGUGUGGGUGACAUGGUGAUGGCCACAGUCAAGAAGGGCAAACCAGAGCUCAGAAAAAUGGUACAUCCAGCAGCGGUCAUUCGACAACCAAAGUCAUACCGGAGAAAAGAUGGCACUGUUUAGAGUACCAUGGAGAUAGCCUCACCUUCAAAGGAUUUACAGACUUGCUGGAAAAUCUAAACAUGAGAAACUGUUAAAUCAAUGAGACUAUUUUCAAGUUCCCAAAGCAGUAAUAUCCUACUGACUUCUGGGUAAAAAAAUAAACCAGUUAUAAGUUGAUGUCCUAGGAAAAUCGAAGAGAGAUCUGUGUGGCCUGGAGUAGUUGAGGAACAUGGCAAGAGGCAUGGAUCCCUGUUGCGAAAGGUGGAAAGUCUCGUCAGAAUACAAGGAAAUGAAAUCAAGAGAUAUUUCCAGCAAGAACAGACAAAAUUUAGGAAACAAUUAGUAAAUAGGAGCACAGAUAAUCAUGCCAGUCUUGUCCUUCAAGUUUUUUUUUUUUUUCCCCUGGGUAAGUCUGUACUGAAGUCAGGCUAGAUUCUUGACUGUCCUUUCCGAAAUCCGUGCUAAUCCAACUCACUGUCUCUGUCCCUCUCUCGUCCCCAUUUUGAAUGUUCUCCCUUUUAUUUUACUUUUCCUAAUGUUUUCCAAGCUUUGGGCUUUGGCUUGGAAAGCCUAUCUGACUACUCAAGCACAUGUUAAUCUUCCCCUUCUGUAGCAUUUUUGAUAUGUGACACCCACAUUUUCAGUGAAUGGCAUGAUAUCUAGUAGUGUUUCCAAUGUGUUAAACUGUUUGCAGCUAUAUUGUAUAACUCUCAAGAAUGAGGACACUACAAUUUGUAUAACCAAUGUACCAUGAUAU
rnacentral:lncRNA from 1 species